rnacentral:lncRNA from 1 species
CAUUUUUCUUGGGGCUUAUUAGGAGCCAGAGGCCCCUGCUCUUCCAGCAGCAACACUAGCCCAUCACCCCUCCCCUGCCUGCAUAAGAUGAGGCUUGGAUCUGGAGUAAUGGCAUUUCGAGUUGCUCACAUCUGUCUAAUACUCAUUCUUAAGUCUACAUGACUGCAAGAGCCUGUUAGAGCUGCAUCCCAGCUCCUGCUAGGACUACACCUCAUGUAGCUCCUGCCCCCUCCUCCCCAUUCCCCGUUCCUCUGCCCAGAUGAGCCAGAUUUUCCAUUUGGAUCUUAGGCCUCCCUGUUCUCUAGACAAAUAACACUUUGCUACCUCACUGGCCUUGCUGUCCUGUCUCCUGCCCAAAAUGCGCUCUGUCCCAGUACCUGACCUUCUGAGGGUAAUUCCAACAACUCUUUCAGGCCCAGAUCAAAAACCACUUCCUUCACAAGUUCCCCAGUGGGACAAAAUCUCUCCAUCUUUGGGCUUUUCUAGAAUUUCAUUUUCACUUUCUUGACACUAUGAAAUAACCACAUUUUUUGGCAAGACAAGAAAAAUUUAAACAGGAAUUUUUUUUCUCUGCCCUUUAUCCUCCUCUCUCCCCCCUACUAUGCACUGUGUAUCUGCAUUAUGCAUCAACCAAACCUCUGCCAUAGGCAGAAAUGCCUGCUCAACCUUAAAGAGCAACAUUCUGCUAGCACCAACAAGACAGCUUAGAAGAUAACAUUUCUUCCAGAUCUUAUAAGGGGCUUAGAUCUGGGUUGUGUAACUCUCAUUUAAUGUAUAGCCCACUGUCUCCAAAAAACAUAUCCAGGAGUUUCUGCUGUGGAUCAUCAGGUUAAGAACCUAACAUGGUGUCUGUGAGGAUGUGGGUUUGAUCCCUGACCUCACCCAGUUGGUUAAGGAUCCCACAUUGCUGUUGUUGUGGCAUAGGCAUGCAGCUGCAGCUCUAACUCAGUCCAUAGCCUGGGCGCCUCCAUAUGCCACAGGUGCAGCUCUAAAAAGAAAAAUGAAAUUAAAAAAACCUUAGCCAACUGCACCAUGAUUCCUAAAGGAUGAAACCGUUUUCAAAGCUUUCUGAGAUGUUGUUCCUAGGUUAUAAUCCUCAUAUUUAUCCCGAAUAAAAUUUUCCAUUUCUUCCUUAAAUCAACUGAUAAAUUUUUCAUCAACACAACAUUUACAUAUUCUGCUCUAGGUUAUAGAAAUUUGUUUGUCUUUGCUCUACUACCAGAUAACAAGGAACUGGAAUAUAAUUUGUUUCUUUUUUUUUUUUUUUUUUUUUUUUUUUUUUUUUUUUUUUUUUUGCUGCUUUACAGAAAUCAGAAAGAAUAUGGGCCACUGAGGUUUGUUUUUUUUUGUUUUUUUUUUCCCUUGAUUUUUGUCUGUCUUUGAGUUUGCCUAAGGGGACAAAGAAGUGACUUUGGGACAAUCUUUCCUGGCCUCCCCCCGCCCCCAAGCUUAAACUGGAGAAAUUAUGGCAAGUGUUCAGGAGUUGUGUAGGUUGGGGAUUGUGAAUGACAGCUGAAUGGAAAAGGAAGUAUCUUUUAGAAGGACUUGUGCCCUCUUCCGUGGAAGUAUUUUGAAAAGAGUUCACUUAUGCUGCACCCAGAAGGGCUGGACUCUGAGAACCGGUGCCUCCAGCCUUGGCACAGAGCAGGAUAUUUCCAGGGACCAUACAGAUUUAAGCAAUAAGCCUAUCAGUGACCUCAAAGAUAAACUGAAACCUAGAAUAUUUACUUUUUCAGCAUCACAUAAGUUUCUUGAAUUCUUGUGCAGUUCUGAGUCAGGGAAGGAAUUGCUUCCAAUAAAAACCUAAAAGUGAAUUCCCACCAGCCUGGCAGAAUACUGGCCAAGAGUUGGAAUUAAUUUGAUUCACAGAAAAAUAAAGUAAUACAGCUUCCAGAGUUGAAUAAGAGGCUGGCUGCUGUGAACUGAAUGCCCAGUCAAAAGGUAUUUUUUUUUUUUUUUCAAGCCAGGUUCAGAUUCAUUGACUUGCAGUCAACUGGACCAUGGGGCAAGAAUCUGCUGUGAACACCUGGGUUUCUAAGGCAGAAAAGGUCCAAAUCAUGAGCAAAAGGGCACAAGUAGUGUAAGAAUAAUAGACAGUAUCAUCUGUCUUGAUGAGCCUCUUCAGACUCUGCAGCUAAUAGAUGCACUUAGUUUUGCCUCCUUCUGAAGAUGUGCAUUUCGCUGUUAUGGCAGGUUAUACAACAAUCUUUCUUGGUCUCUGGCAGACAACAGGAACUUAUCAGAGGUUCAAAAUACAUGUUGUCAUCAACAAAUACAGUAGUUAACUAUCACCAUGCAGUAGUGAGUACCCACGCAUGUGUUAAUCACGGAAAGCCUUCAAUUCUUUGUCAGAUAGAAGACAAAUAUGUGUUAUGGGAUAACCUGAUAUUUUUAGAAACGUUGAGGACAAUAGAAAAUUGGGGGGAAAGGUGAUUUAAAAGUUGUUAGAACUUUCUGACUUACUUUUGCUCAAGACUGAUUUUUGUUCUUGGCAAGUAUCUUUGGACAGUCUUUCCAUAACAUAAAUACGAUAAAAAAAAAAAAGUAAAUCAAGAAGCUCCCACAUUUUUGUUUUGAGAAAACUGUGACGUAUUCAUGUAUCUCUAUUCAGGUAUUAUGAUAAAUAAGCUAAAUGCUCUGGGUGUCAUACGAUUUAGGUUUACGUCUUUUUAGUCGUUAUUGUUACUUUGGAGUAAAGGGAUCUUUUGUCUGUGUAGACGGUGUGUAUGGUGAAGCUGGAGUCCACAGGAGACUAGAGGAGAGACAUGGUCAUGGUCAUGGUCAUGGCCACCUCGCUCUGCAGGAGAUGCUGGAAGGAACCGGACUGGCUGGGGAGCCAUCCGGCCGUUAUUACGGAACAUGCCAGACUUUGGCAAGUCUCUCUUUCUGUCAGCAUGACCACUCUUGGAACCCAGCCGCUGUGCUUCCAGAAAGCCCAAACCAGCUCAUGCAGAAAGAUCACAUGGAGAGACACAUGAGAACAGAGAUCGAGGUCUUCAGCCAACAGCCAGCAUUAACUGCCAGCCAUGUGAGUAAAUGAGCUUUCAGAGAAUCCCAGAUAACAGAGAGCAAAGAAAAUCAUCCCCUCUGUGCCCUGUUUGAAUUCAUAAUUACAAUUAUGCUCAAAAUUAUAAGCAUAACAAAUGGUUGCUUUACAUCAUUAUAUUUUGGGGUCAUUUGUUACCCAGCCUUUUAAAAUUUUUUAUUUCUUUGUCUGUUUUGAGCCAUGCCUGUGGCAUAUGCAAGUUCCCAGGCUAGGGGUCGAAUUGGAGCUACAGCUGCCAGCCUACACCACAGCCACAGCAACACAGGAUCCGAACUGUGUCUGUGACCUACACCACGGCUCACAGCAAUGCUGGAUCCUUAUCCCACUGAGCAAGGCCAUGGAUUGAACCCUCGUCCUCAUGGAUACUAGUCGGGUUUGUUACUGCUGGGCCGUGACCGGAACUCCCACCCAGUCUUAAUCAUUGGGAUGUGCUGGGAGAUGAGAUACAGAGAGUAACCAAAUCCAUGUUCACUGUCUUCAUGGAAUGUAUACACCCAUAUUUCUGAGAUUCCUUUCGUAGCUUCACACACUGAGAGGAUCAGGGGGCCUGAGUUUGGAACAAGUUGAGAGAGACUCUCCUGAGUCAGACAUAUAGAACUGAAAAUACCAGCUCUGAUGCUGAUAAUGUUGGUUGGGGCCUGUGGCUUUAGGACUGUAGCCACGUGCGUUUGCUAAUAUCUCUCUCACUCCUUGAUCAGAUUUAGUCACUUAUCUAGGUGCUGGCCCAGCUGGAAAACGUCAGGCCUUCUCCCCAACCCCUUUCCCUUCAUACACCUUUUCCAAGAAUAGCACCCUUGAGCAGGGAACAGUCUGCAGGACUGAGGAAGGGGGCUAAGUGCGCAUGCUCAGCUCUUCUCCCACACUCUAUGUAGUCAGAUGAGUCCCUCCUCCUCCCUACAGAGUCGGGGUGGGGAAAGGCACACACAGUGUUAGUGCAGCUGGGCAACUUCCAUGUGGAAAUGUGAAUGUCAUACAUCUCACUAUAUUAUUAUUAAAGUUUUAUUGGUUCUUUAAUGAUUUCCACUUUAGCAUUGCCCGAAGCAAAAAUUCUCAUGGAAUCAGGGAUUUGAUUUGCCAAUGAUACAUUUUUCUGACAUAAUUAAAAUCAACUUUU